UAGAUACACUAUAGGUGUAACGAAAGUGCAGUGACAAAAUUAAACGCCACGAACUAGCUCCAGCUUCAGGAGCACAGGAGCACAGCAACCAAUUUAGAUUAUGACUCAUACAAGCCUGAAGGACAGUUACGGGAAAAGGGAAAGAAACAGAAAGGCAUGAAACUAGCAAAACACCAUGACAGUCGGCGGGGUGAAUCCAGUCCUCUGGUUGUUACAGAUACGCAAGAUCAAAAGCAAGUUUUUGAUCCUCCUGUCAUAGAACUGGUAUCUCCUGCUGCUGCUUUCAUUCAGUUUUCUCACUUGAGCCACUAAGAAAGAUGCAACCUAAAAUAUAUGAGCAACAACAACAACAAAAAACAAGAGGAGAAGAAAAGGUA